UUCCUGUUGAGAGGGGAGGAGCUGCUUUGCUGAGGUGAGGAGAAAACAAAGUACUGUAAUUUCAGUUUCUACAGUCAUGAAGCAGACGAGUGAAAAAAAAGGAAGCCUAAAGAUGAGUGUUUUGGAGGGGAACAUAGCAGCGUUUCUAGGAUCCAGCUCUGUGUCCAUGAACAGUGACAAAUUCAGAGAUUAUCAUCCAGUCUUCAGUCAUGAACUUGGAUCAUCAGGCAAAAAACGUCAACAACACAAACACAGAGCAGAGUUUCCAGGAUCCAGCUCUGUGUCCAUGAACAGUGACAUGUCCAGAGAAUAUCCUCCAGUCUUCGGUCAUGAACCUGGACCUUCAGUCACACAACGUCAACAACACAAACACAGAGCAGAGUUUCCAGGAUCCAGCUCUGUGUCCAUGAACAGUGACAUGUCCAGAGAAUACCCUCCAGUCUUCAGUCAUGAACCUGGAUCCCCAGUCACACAAGAGAAGAAGAGGAAUUUCUUUGUGGAGAAGCCGGUGUCCUGCUGUGCAUUGCAUCAGGAUGUCCUGAAGGAUUCAUCUACAGACUUCUGUCCCCAAUGUGGAGUCAAGUCUGGAACCAGAACUUCUCAGCAGACAACCAAUACUGAUCUAGAAAAAUGUUUAGAUGCGUUAAAAGUCACUCUGAGGACACGAUAUGAACGUGUGAUUGAAGGAACCGAUAAAACAGGAAUUGGAGCCCUCCUCAGAUUGAUCUACACUGAGCUCUACAUCACAGAGGAGCAGAGUGAAGCAGUACACUUCCAACAUGAGGUGAGGCAGGUGGAGAGCACUUGUAAGAAGAUCCACCGUGAAACACCAAUCAGCAGCAAGGACAUCUUUAAAGUGUUAGCUGACCAACAGAGACCCAUCAGAGUGGUUCUGACAUAUGGCGUUGCUGGCAUUGGAAAAACCUUCUUGGUGCAGAAGUUCACUCUGGACUGGGCAGAGGGCUUAGAAAACCAACACAUCAGUGCGGUGGUUCUGCUUUCAUUCAGGGAGCUGAACUUGGUCAGAGAUGAGCAGUACAGUCUCCUGGAGCUGAUCCAUGUUUUCUAUCCAAGAUUACAGAGCGUCACAGCAGAGCAGCUCACUGUGUGUAAUCUUUUGUUCAUCUUUGACGGCCUGGAUGAAAGCAGACUUUUGUUGGAUUUCACCAACAGGAAGCUUGUGUCUGAUGUCACACAGAAGUCAUCAGUCAGUGAGCUGCUGACAAAUCUCAUCGAGGGGAAUCUGCUUCCCUCUGCUCUCAUCUGGAUAACUUCCCGACCUGCAGCAGUCAGUCAGAUCCCUCCUAAAUGUGUUGACAGGAUGACAGAAGUUCGAGGCUUCACUGACUCUCAGAAGGAGGAGUACUUCAGGAGGAGAUUCAGAAAUAAAGAGCUGUCAAGCAGAAUCAUCUCCCACUUGAAGACAUCCAGGAGCCUUUACAUUAUGUGUGGGAUCCCAGUCUUCUGCUGGAUCACUGCUACAGUUGUGGAGCACAUGUUGACUACAGAGCAGAGAGGAGAGCUGCCCAAGACCCUGACUGACAUGUACUCACACUUCCUGCUGGUUCAGACAAAGAAAAAGCAAAAGUACCACGAGGGACAAGAGAUGAAUCAGCAAGAGUUCACCAGUGCUGACUGGGAAGUUCUUCUGAAGCUGGGGAGGCUAGCGUUUGAACAUCUGCAGAAAAAAAGCAUCCUGUUCUACCAAGAAGACUUGGAGCAGUGUGGUCUGGAUGUCACAGAGGCCUCAGUGUACUCAGGAGUUUGUACAGAGAUCCUCAAAAGAGAGUCUGUGAUCUUCCAGAAACCAGUUUACUGCUUUGUUCAUCUGAGUGUUCAGGAGUUUCUGGCUGCAGUCUACAUGUUCCACUGUUACACCAACAGGAAGACAGAGGUGCUGCAGGACUUCUUUACUGAGGACGAUAAAGGAAAUAAGAUAUCUUUGAAAGAUAUCUCAUCUCUGGAAGAUUUUCUAAGCAGAGCCAUGGAAGAAUCCUUGAAAGUUCCGAAUAGCCACCUGGAACUGUUUGUGCGCUUCCUUCAUGGCCUCUCUAUGAAAUCAAACCAGAGACUCUUAGGAGGUUUAUUGGGUCAGACAGAGAGCAGUCCAGAAAUCAUCCAGAGAGUCAUCAACAACCUGAAGAAGAUUAGCAGUGAAGGCAAGUGUCCUGAAAGAUGCAUAAACAUUCUUUACUGUCUCAUGGAGAUGAAUGACAUCUUAGUACAUCAGGAGAUCCAAGAGUUUCUAAAGUCACAGAACACGUCAGAGAAGAAACUCUCUGAAAUCGAGUGCACAGCUUUGGCACAUAUGUUGAUGAUGUCAGAGAACGUUAUGGAGGAGUUUGAUCUGCAGAAGUACAACACAUCACGGGAUGGACGAUGGAGCCUGCUUCCAGCUGUGGUGAACUGCAGAAAGGCUCGACUUCAUGAUGUUCAUGUCUUUGGGAAAAGCUGUGGAUCUUUGGCCUUAGCUCUGACCUCAGACCCCUCCCAUCUGAGAGAGCUGCACAUGAAAUCAGUGAGACUGGAGGAAGACGCAGAAGAACUUUUUACUCAUCUGGGGCAUCCAAACUGUAGACUGGAGACACUCAGCUUUGAGGACAGCACUUUGUUAGAGAAGAACUGUUCAGAACUGCUCAGUGCUCUGAAGUCCAACCCCCCCUACCUGAAACAUCUGGAUCUAAUAGGAUGCAACCUGGAGGGUUCAGGAAUGAAACAGCUGUAUGAUUACCUGGAGAGUCCACACUGCAAACUACAGUUUAAAAGAGUGUCUGUGGUUUAGAUGCUGCACUUAGCUGGCUUUGAUGGAUUUAUACAGAAUCUCAGUAUUUGUCUUAAAUAGAUCAAGACAUGCAGUGAUGCCUGCAGAGUCAUCCUGAAAGAAAUCAGUGGUCAACCCAACCCGUGGUUCUACCCAAACUUCCUGAAUCUGUUCCUGAACGUACAAACACAGUGUGGCUUUAACACCAAUAUAAACCUUUGGUUUAUGAAUAAGAGCUUUGGAAAUUGCCGAACCUCUUUUCAGUGGAUGAAGUACAGGACUGAGGUAAAACACCUCGAUCUCACAGUGUGCUGAGGUAAUUUCCACUUCAGUGUAUGCCUUUGCUUCCUGGAUAAUUCCUAUCACUCCAGUGAGUGCAUCAGUACUGGAAUUUUGUCUUUCUCAGCUAAAGGACAUUUUGCUCCAGUAUCUGACAUGUUCCCCAGUUUUGAUUUGUUGCAGAGCAGAAUCUUGUGAUACAGGUUUCAUUGCACUGUUUACACACACAAGGAUCCACUGAGAAGACCACAGUUUGAAUAUAGACUGAAAACACAGAUGUUGUCAUUUAUCUUACAAGAAUCAGUAAACUCUGGAAUAAGUUCUGCUAUGUUAUUUGGACUCCUGUCCUCCUGUUUUAUACCUCAAGAUGCUCUUUUGAGGUACAAUAGCUAGUCUUGGAACUAAAAAGCAGACUUUGCUUGUGCAGGUCCUUGUUUAUUAUUUUACUAUGAGACAUUUUAUUCAUUUAACUACUGUAGUUUCACUGUUUAACAUGUCUUGCUUGUGGUGUUGCAUUACAAUACAGCAGUGUGUUUUCAGUGCUGUGUUAUGUUACAGCUCAGAGAAGGGUGUGUCACAUAUAUACUGUGUUAAAUGGCAGUCCGGUUUUGUACUUUUGCAAUAUUUGGAAAAUACAGAUACUUGGUUAAAUAAGUACAGUCCAUCUGGAAGGUAUUCAGAACAUUUAACUUGCUUACCAUCAUGUUAUGUUACAGUCUUUUUUCAAGAUGGAUCAAAUACAUUUUCAUCUCUACACACAACACAGUGUAAUGAUAAAGAGAUAAAAAAAACUUGAAAUUAUUAUACAUUUAUUUUAAAAAUAUUAUUGAUAUAAACAAUAAAAUGUAAUUGUAGCCUUUGUCCAAUACUUUGUUAAAGCACCUACAGCCUCAGGUUGGAGCAGCAGUACACAGCCAUUAUCAGAGCUCCUUUUUAUUGUUUGGCGAGGUUAAAGUCUGGGCUCUGUCUGGGUCACACAUGGUCACUCUCCCUUAGAAAUCAAAUUUCAAGUAUGAGGAGACUCAUACAUAAGUAUGAUGUAGCUUCACUGUAUGGGUGAUAUUGGCCAGGUGAUGCCUGCUUUUCUCCAGAUGUGACUCUUGGCAUUGAGGCCAAACAGUUCAAUCUUUGUUUCAUCCAAUCAGUUCAUUUUGUUUCUGAUGGUCCGCAAGACCUUCAGGUGCCUUUUGGCAAACUCUAGGCCUGCUAUCAUGCGUCUUUUACUGAGGAUUGGCAUGAUGAUAUGUGGAUCAAGUGAAGUGCAGUGUUUUUUGUUCAUUGCCUUACUGCUGUCACAGUUAUUAAAAUGAAUGUUUAAGAUACAUUUGGUUAAAGUGCAAGGGUGUACAAAAUACAUUUGUCACCAAAGUCUGCUUGUAGACCAACAAAUAUUUAUAUAAUUUGAGAAUAGUAAGACAAAUACAUGUACAGAAAACAUUAAAUAUUUGUUUAUCAUCUCCUCAACCUGCAUUUUAUGGUUAUCCUGUGUUGCAGCACCACUCUGUGGAAUGAUGAAGAACUUCAGUUAAAGCCUACUUUAAAUCUCAGAGGUUGAUGCUUUGACUGAAAGUUUUUAUUUUAAACUGCCAGCAUUAGCUCCUCACAUUAAAGCGGAUCAAAAGAAGAUCCAAGCACCAACAUGUGUUUGUCCCAUAAAACAAAACAGUAAAACAGACACACAAAAAAACUCUGGCUUCAGUAAUCCAACAUAAUCUCACCAAGAUCAAUAGUGUCCCUUAUGGAAAAUAAGGGACACUAUUAAAUAUAUAUGAAUCUCAUAAAGUUUGUAUCUGUCUUGUGUGAAAAGCAUACAAGAGUGAAAACAGAUAUAAGAU